rnacentral:rRNA from 1 species
AAUGAACGCUGGCGGCAUGCCUUACACAUGCAAGUCGAACGGCAGCAUGACCUAGCUUGCUAGGUUGAUGGCGAGUGGCGAACGGGUGAGUAAUGCAUCGGAACGUGCCUUUUAGUGGGGGAUAACGUAGCGAAAGUUACGCUAAUACCGCAUAUUCUCUGAGGAGGAAAGCAGGGGACCUUCGGGCCUUGCGCUAGAAGAGCGGCCGAUGUCGGAUUAGCUAGUUGGUGAGGUAAAGGCUCACCAAGGCAACGAUCCGUAGCGGGUCUGAGAGGACGAUCCGCCACACUGGGGCUGAGACAAGGCCCAGACUCCUACGGGAGGCAGCAGUGGGGAAUUUUGGACAAUGGGCGCAAGCCUGAUCCAGCCAUGCCGCGUGAGUGAAGAAGGCCUUCGGGUUGUAAAGCUCUUUCGGCUGGGAAGAAAUCGCACCCUCUAAUACAGGGUGUGGAUGACGGUACCAGCAUAAGAAGCACCGGCUAACUACGUG